GACGAACGCUGGCGGCGUGCUUAACACAUGCAAGUCGUACGAUGACCCGGCUCUUCGGAGCUGGUGAUUAGUGGCGAACGGGUGAGUAACACGUGGGUGACCUGCCCUGCACUCUGGGAUAAGCCCGGGAAACUGGGUCUAAUACUGGAUACGACCAGUGGCCGCAUGGUCUGCUGGUGGAAAGCCCUUCGGGGUGGUGUGGGAUGGGCCCGCGGCCUAUCAGCUUGUUGGUGGGGUGAUGGCCUACCAAGGCGACGACGGGUAGCCGGCCUGAGAGGGUGUCCGGCCACACUGGGACUGAGACACGGCCCAGACUCCUACGGGAGGCAGCAGUGGGGAAUCUUGCACAAUGGGCGAAAGCCUGAUGCAGCGACGCCGCGUGAGGGAUGACGGCCUUCGGGUUGCAAACCUCUUUCGGCAGGGAACAAGCCUGGGGGUUUUCUUCUGGGUGAGGGUACCUGCGGAAGAAGCACCGGCUAACUACGUG
rnacentral:rRNA from 1 species